GGGGUUGACCGGUUUUGACAGCGUGUAGAAGUGGUGUGUAAGCGUGCAGAGCAAUGAUGGCUACGCUCUUUAAUCUGGGACAUCGACAAUUUCAAAUGGCGAAAAUAACUACGCUCUUGCUGCUUGAUUGAAGUACAGUAGAUCAGCUUAAUCUCCGCAACAGUUGCAGAGACAAGACAUCGCCCGAUCGUCCUUUUUCCGAGACGGAUCGAACAGGCGGUGCAGGUAAAUCGGGAAUAGGAGGUUGAGAGUCUCGCGAGACCUCCGAAAUUUUAGAGACUAAGGCCGCAGUUGGUUGUCCUUCGCCUGCUGCAGCACGAAAACCAAGCAAAGGAAUACGCACGUAGAAAGCUCAUUAGUUCCGCGUUUGGACGGGGGUUCAAAUCCCCCCAACUCCACUA
rnacentral:tmRNA from 1 species